rnacentral:rRNA from 1 species
AAGCCGUUCUCAGUUCGGAUCGGAGUCUGCAACCCGACUCCGUGAAGCUGGAUUCGCUAGUAAUCGCGCAUCAGCCAUGGCGCGGUGAAUACGUUCCCGGGCCUUGUACACACCGCCCGUCAAGCCAUGGAAGCCGGGGGCGCUUGAAGUGCGUUGCCGCAAGGCGCGCCCUAGAGCGAAACCGGUGACUGGGGCUAAGUCGUAACAAGGUAAC